AAAAACUUUAUAUACAACAAUAUAUCUAGGCUACUUAGCAAAAGCCUUGCUUUUGUAUAUGGUAUAACUUUUUAAUGUAAAUAAAUAUAAAUCAAAAUCCUCUCUGGCAACUUCCUUCAAUUUCAUUUCGAUCACCGCCCGAUCGAUCGAUGUGAUCAGCAUCUACUAAAUAGCUCGGGGCUACCUCGUUUCUCUUAAUUAGCUAAAUCGUUCUCACAUUUCCGGAAGAAUGCGGGAUUUCGGGGGGAGGGGAGACUGAAUGACAAUCCCCAAUUUGAAAUCGCUUAAAGCGUUUAAAGGGGGCCAAAAACUCGGUAAGAACUAAUGCCAUAAAUAUUGUUUCAUUUCUUACCAUUUGUUUAUUAUUUAUUUUUCCAUUCUGGCAACAGGUUAAGCGAGCGGCGGCGAAUGGAGCAAACUCGUUUGAGAUCUAUUAAAAGAUGCCGAGUAAGACCAACAAAAAUUGAGUGAAAAAAAAGUAAUCGAAUACAAAGUAUUGCUAAUAUUCAUUAAUGGCUUUUGAGCGACUGCGACACAUUUGCCGAACUUUUGUCGUUAAUGUCCACAGAUGAUACCCAGUGAUGGGAUUCUAAUACUGAGCAGGUUUGAUGACUUUGCGUGGAAGCUGCUGACGAUUGCAACACGCACCGCCGAUGACGAUUACGAUUACGACGAAGAUGACGAUGAUGAUGGUGAUGAUGAU